GGACCGUUAGCUCAGUUGGCAGAGCAGCUGACUCUUAAUCAGCGGGUCGAAGGUUCGAGCCCUUCACGGUCCACCA
rnacentral:tRNA from 1 species